AAUUUCAUAAUUUUUUGACAUUAUUUACCUUGUGAUCAAAAUGUCACAAAAAUGAUAAUUUUUAACAGCUGGUAUGGGAUACUUGCUAGUUUAACGGUGUAAAAGAAUUGGAAUAGGUUCAGUUUUUGAUAGAAAAUUCUAUUCACUACCUAGAUAAAGACCAAUAACUCUGAUCUUAAAUUGAAGUAUCCAAUCAUCCAUUUUUAGAACGUCGUUCGAUUUUUAUCAUUUAUUUUGUACCCGCUUGAUGGACUUUAUUAUGAUUUCAAAAAGUGACAAAAAUUUUUUUAGAAGUUUCAAAUUCU
rnacentral:lncRNA from 1 species